rnacentral:rRNA from 1 species
AUUGAACGCUGGCGGCAUGCCUUACACAUGCAAGUCGAACGGUAACGCGGGGCAACCUGGCGACGAGUGGCGAACGGGUGAGUAAUACAUCGGAACGUGCCCAGUAGUGGGGGAUAGCCCGGCGAAAGCCGGAUUAAUACCGCAUACGACCUACGGGUGAAAGCAGGGGAUCGCAAGACCUUGCGCUAUUGGAGCGGCCGAUGUCAGAUUAGGUUGUUGGUGGGGUAAAAGCCUACCAAGCCGACGAUCUGUAGCUGGUCUGAGAGGACGACCAGCCACACUGGGACUGAGACACGGCCCAGACUCCUACGGGAGGCAGCAGUGGGGAAUUUUGGACAAUGGGCGCAAGCCUGAUCCAGCCAUGCCGCGUG